rnacentral:rRNA from 1 species
GACGAACGCUGGCGGCGUGCUUAACACAUGCAAGUCGAACGAAGUGGCGAACGGGUGAGUAACGCGUAAUCAACCUGCCCUUCAGAGGGGGACAACAGUUGGAAACGACUGCUAAUACCGCAUACUGAAGGAGGGGAUUGUGUCGGGUUAGCUCGUUGGAGGGGUAACGGCCCACCCAGGCGAUGAUCAGUAGCCGGGUUGAGAGGGUGAACGGCCACAGUGGGACUGGGGCACGGCCCAAGCUCCUACGGGAGGGAGCAGUGGGGAAUCUUCCGCAAUGGACGACAGUCUGACGGAGCAACGCCGCGUGAGUGAUGACGGCCUUCGGGUUGUAAAGCUCUGUUAAUCGGGACGCGGUACCGGAAUAGGAAGCCACGGCUAACUACGUGCCAGCAGCCGCGGUAAUAC